rfam:Pantoea sp. PSNIH2, complete genome.
CAUCGAAGGAAAUGCCUGCCGAGUCUCUCGGAGACAUGCCCAGGUAGCCACGAUCUUCAAGGCUACGACGCGGCUUGGCCGUGCUGAUCGACCCCGUUCGCUGCGCAUCCCUGGACGCGAACAGCCACUGUGCAUGCGGUGGCGGAUGC